ACCUCCGCCAGGCCAGGAGCUGCUGCUGGGUGCUCCCAGGGUGAACCCACAGAGCUGCGGCUUGCCUUCAUCCCUGCAGGUCCCCUGGGAACACCCCAGCACCCCAACAGGCCUCAGCAGCAGGAGUCCGAGCCCCCAGCUUUUUGUAUUUAAGUGGUUUAAGAGUGGAGGCAGCGCGUGCCCUGCAGCACCGGGUGCUGGCGCUGGAGGUGGCUGCGUGGCGUGGGGCUGGUGGGCACGGCAAGGAGGAGGGAGAGCUGUGAGUAGGUUAGAAAGGGCACCUCUUCUCCUCCCUUCACCUAUCAACGAGCAGUUUGGGUCUAAUUACGUCGGACAAGCAUUAAAGUCAGGAGCUGAGAGCCCAGCAAGAUGGAUGGGUGGGUGCGCUGCUCCGCACCUUGGCUUUGUGUCCCACCGCAGGAGGCGUGCAGCAGUCUGGGCUGAUUUACUUUAGAUUUGAGCUGGGAGUAAAUUGCAAGACAUGAAUCAUCUUGACGCAGACACUCCGGAGAUGGAUUACCUGGUUUGGCAGCUCGCUCUUCUCUUGCCACAGCCUUCCUUGCUUGAUGCCUUUCAGUUCAGGGUUUCAUCUCCAAGGCACAGGAGAGCUCCUGCUCCGCGGUCCUGACCCCGGCACACCUUGGAGCCCUGAGUGCUGCUGGCCCUGAGCAGGAAUCCCCACCAAACCCAGGCCUGCGGCUGGCCUGGCCACGCUCCCCCCUUCACCCAGCACUGCCAAACCGACCAGAAGUAGCUUCA